rnacentral:misc_RNA from 1 species
GUUGUAUAUCUUAAUUUUAAUUAUUUUUUGAAUAUUUGUCCAUUUCAUAUUUUUGCAAAUUUUUCAAAAAAAAUGUUACCAUUACAUUACGGCUGUUACAGGCCCGUUUCCCUUACUUGCGACCUUGACCGUGAACGUGAAAACCAUGCUGAAUAUUGUAGCUUCUACUUUAUUCUUAGUUGAAAAUAUCCCCACCUUUCUGCUACAUGUGAUCAUUGAAAAAAAGGCAUCUCACUUGGAAAGGAUUGAUCCUAGCUUAUAAUCUACCAAGCUUGCUCAGCAUUCUUCAAUUUCUGACGAGGUUCAAUCCUCAUUGUUCAUUAGUAGCCCCAAGUUGAGGAAGUCUAUAAGGAUGAUGGCUUCUCCUCUAGUGGCAUUGAUGACAGGCUAAGUUUGUCUAUAUUAAGUAUGGUUUGAUUUGGGUAUGUUGAGCCUUUUUGCAGUUUUUUCCCUUUAAUAGAGGCACCUCACAUGGAAGGAUGGACCCUUGCCUAAGCCGCUAGACUUGCUUGUCUCCAAUGUGGGACAGGGUUUCAGUUUUUAAAAGGAAUCUUGUUUUGAAUUAAAUCACUGUGAAUAUUAUUAGAUGUUUUGUUUGCCAGACAAGCAUGACAGAAAAUGAAUAUGAUAUUAGUUUGUUUUUUCUGUUGCUUUUACUCAAGAAUUGGAUGCCACUGUGAUGAACAUUUGUUAUAAUAAUAUUUGUUAUUCAUAACCAUGUGAGUAGCUUGUUCCUGUUAUUAAGUAAAUUAAAUCCAAAUUUUCUUAAACUUUCUUAUCCUUAUCCUUCAUUACAGAUUUUAUUUUUGUUUGAUUGAAGGAAAAGGGUGCGGUUCAAUUGGAGUUCUCUCAGAAAUUAUAUAGGGUCAAAUUUGAGUUGAAAUAUGCUGCAAAAAGCUAUAGCGUGGAUUAUUAUUUUGAAAAGAACAGUGGUGGAAAAAUAGCAGAUUGGGAUUGCACUUUGCAUGAUUUGCAGUUAUGCUUUGGUGUGAAGGAAUUUUUGGUGAUUGCUCCUCAAAGUGCCAGCGGUGUGGUUCUUGAUGCACCAGAGGCUAGCAAGCUCUUAAGUGCAGUUGCAAUUGCUUUGUCAAACUGUUCCAGCUUGUGGCCGGCAUUUGUUCCAGUACAUGAUCCUUCUCGAAAAGCUUAUAUUGGAAUUCAAAAUAUGGGAACUGUUUUCACUAGAAGAUUUGAGGCAGAUCGUAUUAGUAGCCAGGUUCCAGUAAAGCUCAUGCAUUUGGAAGGCUUAUACGAGCUAUUUGUUUCUAAGUUUGGUUACUCCACACUGGAUUAUGCUAUGCGCCUUUUCAAAGUUCAGUUUACAAUGAAGUCAACAUACAGAACCAUUCCCAAUGAUGAUGAUGACGACAACGAUCUCCAGAGACCUGCUGCAGAAAUUGAAGAUUAUGGAAGAACUCGUGGUGGUGACACUGACGCAUCUAACAGAUCACAGUGGGAUGAUGAUUGUCCUUGGAGUGAGUGGUAUUCUGCAGAGAACCCAGUAAAAGGAUUUGAAUUAAUUGCCACAUGGCCAGAGAAGAUGGUUGAAAGUUCUCUUGAAAUGGCUGAAUUAGAAAAUGCGUCACCCCAUGAAGCUGAAAAGUGGAUGAUACUUCCAAUCCUCUCACCAAAUUUCGAUAGUUCAGAAGGAAACAGUAGUUCUGAAGGAAACAGAAUUGGAUUUGCUUCCCAACUGCGCCUUUUGGUUGAUGCAUUAGAUAUGUCUUUUGAUGCCCAUUUCAUGGAGGAUUUUGUAUCAGUUGAAAACCCAAGUUCUGAUAAUCUUAAAUCUUCCAUGGUUGUACCCCCACCAACAGUAAUUGAUCGGCUGCUCAAAGAUCUCUUUCAUGAGGGAUCUCAACUCCCAGAUUUUACUGGAGGAGAGCAUAAGAAUUCUCGAGCUAUUAAAGGCGCACCUCUAGGAUCUCUUUUUGCGCAGUUUUGUCUACAUUCACUAUGGGUUGGGAGCUGCAACAUACGUGCUAUUGCUGUGCUCUGGAUAGAGUUUAUUCGAGAGGUCCGUUGGUGUUGGGAGGAGUCACAGCCGUUGCCCAAAAUGCAUGCUAAUGGUUCCAUUGACCUGUCAACUUGUUUGAUUAACCAGAAAUUGCAAAUGCUUGCUAUAUGCAUUGAGAAGAAGUGUGAACUAAAUGAAGAAUUUCAAGAUUGUAUAGAAAGCAAUGAUCAUAUCAAGGAAGAUGGUCUAGUAGCGAAUGAGGCAACUAAUAUGCAUAUACCUAGGGAAGAGUUUUAUGGGAAUCGUGACAGGUGAACUAAGCAACCCCUUGACUCAAGAUGGCUUGCGUUGUUCUGAACCAAUCAAGUCAAAGUCUAGUAUGAAGCAUAAAGAUGCGUCAUCUACUGAUGAAAAAUCUUCAGAUCGUAUCAGGAGAGGUUCAGCUGGUGUGGUGGGAUCUAUGGUGCUAUUGAAGUCAUAUCAGAGCAUGCAUGCCCCUUUCACACAGGAUCCAUCACUGAUGACAGAAGACAUGCAUGAAGAACGAUUGCAGGCUGUUGAAGCAUCUGGUGGUUCUUUUAACUUUUCUGCUCAGUUGGAGAGAGAUAUCUUAUCAUCAGACAUGGCAGCAUUCAAAGCAGCUAAUCCCGAUGCCAUUUUUGAAGAUUUUAUUCGGUGGCAUUCUCCUGGAGAUUGGGAGAAUGAUAAGACAGAAAGAAGUGGACCAUCCAGAAACUUAAUGGAUGGUUUGAAGGAUGAUUGGCCUCCUCGAGGCCGACUUUCACAACGAAUGUCUGAGCGCGGAAACCUAUGGCGAAAAAUUUGGAAUGAUGCACCUGCUUUACCUGCUUAUGAGCAGAAACCACUUUUGGAUCCAAAUCGAGAAGGAGAGAAGAUCCUUCAUUACCUGGAGACAUUAAGACCCCAUCAACUGCUAGAGCAAAUGGUUUGUACUGCCUUUAGAGCAUCAGCUGACACACUGAAUCAGACUAAUUUUGGAGGGUUGAAGCAGAUGACAAUGAAAAUCGAGCAGCUUUACCUUACUUUGGCAUCUGUGUUGAAGGAUUUACAAACAAAUAGUAUAUCUGGCAACAGUGAGACUAUCGAAGACCUAAGACGGCUGUGUGUCAUCUUUGAACAUGUUGAGAAGUUACUUACUCUUGCAGCUUCUCUUCAUCGCAAGUUCAUUCAAGCACCACGUCUUUCUGCAGAUAUCUUCACUGACUACUAUAACUUUUAUCUUCCAAGAAUGGGAACAGGCUCCUCAGAUGUCAAUGAAAAGGUGAACUGUCUCUAUUCUAUACUAAAUUUUGUUUGUAUUUGCAAUUUAACACGGUAGGUAGCUCAAUCUGUCUUCUCCCUCAAGUGAAGCAUAUAUUUAAAUUUGAAAAGUCAACUUAUUCAUGGAUUUUUUUCAUUAUCAUAUUAGGUUAAAAAUGUUGGAAGCUUUCAAAUUUAUACUAGUAAUUUGAAAGUUGAUUUUUUUGCAUUGAAUGAAAUUUCAAAAUUACUUGAAGUACAACCUAACAUGGAAUUUACUGUCUUGUAUUAUUGACUGAGGUUGAGAACUUAGAUCAUAAUUCUUCAAAACACAAAUAUCCUUAAUAUAGUUUUUAAUGGCUUCACUUAGGAGUUCAAUAAGAAGCAGUACGUAAGAAUGCAGGAGAGACAAAUUGUGUCAGAUAUGUUUACACCACCUACUCCUAACCAGUCAUGGAGAAAAGUACUAAGCAUGGGUAAUCUUCUCAACGGGCAUGAGCCGAUUGCCAGGGAAAUUAUAUUUUCUUUGCGCGAUAGCAUGAACAAUCAUCAUUAUGCUGCCCAAACUCCAAAGGACUUCAAAGAAGAAAUAGAGACAUAUAGAAUGUACACAUGUGGAACCUCAAAUGAUCUUCGUGUAGCACUUUCUGUUACCUCAUUUGAUUAAUUUUUGGUGAUUUACAUAUUAAAUAUUGUCUUUGUUUUGAUUGGAUUUCCCAGAAUUCAUCUCAAGUGGUAUUGUUUUGGCAUACGCUUAAAAUUGUGAUAAUAUGAAGUAUGGUAUUUGAAUAGAAUGAAUUUUCAAUUCAUAUUUUAAU